UGAGAUCUUCAGGCCUCCAGAGUAUAGAGUUGAUGAGUCUGGGGUCUCGAGAUUGCAGA
rnacentral:pre_miRNA from 1 species